ensembl:rRNA 5S_rRNA 5S ribosomal RNA
GUUUAUGGCCACACCACUCUGAAUGAUCUGGUCUUGUCUGAUCUUGGAAGCUGGGCAGGGUGGGGCCUGCCUCAAUAGUGCUUGACUGUCUGGGGAUAUUGGGUGCUGUUGAAU